GUGGAUACAAGGAUGUGGAGAGGGGAAAGACUCCCCCAUUCCUUUCCCUCCUCCCUCGUCAUAGAAAGUGAGGACCAAGGCACCCAAGGUCUGACCAUCUGUGUCUCCAGAGCUCCUGCAUGUGACUAACCUCUGUGUAAACUUCUCCAAACUGCACACCCUGGGUGACAGGCCCCUGGGAGGCCUCAAGGGACACCCCUUCUACUACUAUGCCUUCUAUGAGCUUGUAGCCAAAGGCAGUUGCCUGUGCCUUGGGCACACCUCUAAGUGCAGGUCUGCACCUGGAACCCCAGCCAAUGUGGUGAGGACAAUGGGAGGGGCAUUCUGUUGCUGGUGGGGUGGGCAAGCUGGGACUCCAGAGCAGGCCUGCCUUGCCCUCCUCCCUAUCAGGUACAUGGGCUUUGCAUCUGUCCCCACCAGUCGGUGCACACUGUGAGUGCUGCCAAGACCUGCACCAGGAUCAUCCAUGACAUGCAGCAGAGCCUGGGCACCCCCAUGCCUGCUGGGAUGAAUGCCAUGCUCUACUCUGCCUGGCCAUACCUGCCACAGGUCCGCCCACCCCAUAUCUACCUUUCUGGUUCUGCCUCAGAAUGUGAGUGCCAUGGGCAUGUCUACAGUUGUCACUUUGACACAGCUGUGUGUCUGGUUAUGUGAGUGGAGGUGUGUGUGAUGUGUGUCAGCACAACACAGCUGGGCGCCACUGUGAGUUCUGCUGGCCCUUCUUCUACUGUCAUCCCUGAGAGGAUCCCUGUUCCCCUCGGUCCUGCAGACAUGAGUCCUUCAACCCCUAAUCCCAACACUGACUCUUAUCCUUCAGCUCCAUGGUGACCUCUGACCUAAUUCCAUCCUUAACCUCUGACCUCUGAUCUAGCCUGUGACUGUGACCCUGUGGGUGUCUGGAAGGGGAUUUGUGUGAUGCUCACAUUAAUGAGAUCCAUGGCCUCCUCUCUGGGCAGUGUUGCUGCAAAGUGUGUGUAUGGGGUCAGCACUGUGACUCCUACUGGCCUGGUCACUAUGGCCUGAGCUCCACCCAACCUCAGAGCUGCCAGUGUGAGUGACACUCAGGGUGGGCCCCCGCCUCCAUGUCCUCCUGGCUCUGCCCCCAGUUACUGCCCUGAUAACACACGCACCUACCCACCUCACUGCAGUUCCAUUAGCAAGCUAAGAGCCCUAAGCCUUCGCCUGCAGGUGUGACCCCAGGGUUCAGGUCCCUGGUACUCAUGUCUGUUAUCCCUCCAGUGGUACCUGUCACUGCAAAUGCUUUGUCUCUGGGCAGGACGGUAGCCAUUGUCUGGUGAGGCUUGGCCCACCUUCUGAUUUAACCUUGACCUUUGGCACUGAGCUUCUUGGAGCUAUAGCCUUAUAAUGAGUAUAAGGCUAUAGUUAUCAUGACUGUGGACUGAGCCUUGUACUUGGGUGGGUGCCGCUCACUGACUUGGUCACCAGGGUCAGCAUCACUUUGGCUAGCUGAACCUGUAUAUGCCCUCAGGUGGGAGUUUCGGAAACAAAAGGGAAAUUGAUUAAACUUGUAUUAUACACUGGA
rnacentral:lncRNA from 10 species